UGCGUCUGUAGCUCAGGUGGAUAGAGCAACAGCCUUCUAAGUUGUGGGUCGCAGGUUCGAGUCCUGCCAGACGCGG
rnacentral:tRNA from 1 species